GCCAGGUGUGGUGGUGCAUGCCUGUAUUCCCACCUACUCAGGAGGCUGAGGCAGGUGGAUCACCUGAGGUCAGGAGUUCAAGAUCAGCCUGGCCAACAUGGUGAAACCCCAUCUCUACUAAAAAUACAAAACGUUAGCCAGGUGUGGUGGUGCAUGCCUGUAUUCCCACCUACUCAGGAGGCUGAGGCAGGUNNNNNNNNNNCAUGUUGGCCAGGCUGAUCUUGAACUCCUGACCUCAGGUGAUCCACCUGCCUCAG
rnacentral:SRP_RNA from 1 species